CAGCUGGGGAAUGCAAGAGCUUUUCAGGGUGAGUUGGGGUGGCUGUAACGGGGACACAAUCGGUGUGUGUGUGUUGAUGGAUAAAGAAAGCCAAACAGAACAGAUAAGCUACAACUGGGUUUUUUGUUUUGUUUUUUUACCAGUAUGGAACAAACUGCGCUCCGGUUUUGCGCAUAUCGACUUGGAAGUUCCUCUAAGCUCCUUGGGUCUUAUUCCCAGUAAAUGUGAAUAGGAUCGCAGCCUCAAAGCAGUUGCUCAAAGAAACAACCCUCCUUGUUUGGGCUUGCUUUGUAAGUUUGCUGCCUAACAAGUGAAUGUCCUGCUUCCGUGCACCAAUAGUUUUAUACAGUGCAAGUCGAGUUCAGAAAGUCUGCAAAUUCUAUCGUUUGGGAGCUAACUUUUAAGUGGAAUUGUUUUCCCACACGCCUUUUUUUUAAAAGGAGCAGCGUCAGGUAGAAUUGCCAACUUUUCAAGUGGACUCUAUGCAGCUCUGCCUUUCAUAGCGACUUCCUGUGCAGACAUUAGCAGUAGAUAAAGUUUCAUCUCCUUGAUGUGUUUUGGGGGCGGGCAGGCCGGGAUCACCUGUUGGAUUGUUAAAGGCCACAAAAACCGCCAAAGCCCAUUAGUUGGUUUGCUGGUGCCAGGACUCUGGUUUGACUAGGAAACCUGGAAGUCUUAGAAUAUGUAACGAUCAGAACUGUGGUUGUUCAGUGGGUGAAAGAAAGAUCCUCUUUGCAUGUUCAAAGAUAAAACAUUUAUGGACCAAUUGGGAGGCUGACCCCCCCCUCCGUUUGUUCUUCCACUAUCAUAAUGUGCUGCUGUCACAUGCCAUCCCAGUUUUGCGCCGUGAAUUGCAAGCAGAGACUCUGUAAAAGUAAUAAUAAUGAUAUAUUCUACCCUGUUUCCCAAGUAGUUCAGGGCAUCAUCAACAUUAAUUUCAUUUAACACUUCCUUUUUGCUAUGAAGUCUCAAAGUGACUUGAAAACAGUAAAAUACAGGAUAUAAAAACAAUUUAAAACCAGAGAAGGUUUAAUCACUAGUAACAAUAUACAUGAAAUGCUCAUCCAAUAAUAAAUGAAUAAGAGUCAAGUCCUACCCACCCCACUAAAAGAUGAGCACCACCACAUGAGGCAAAAUGAAUUAGAAAAGUCUUGGGCUGGUGACUGAACACUGACAAAGAUGGGGCCAAGUCUCUCUCUCUGAGAAUACAUGUUUCCCGUCCUUUACUACAACAAGAACCCUGUCACUCCCCCACCCCCAGUCAAGCUUCCACAGCUCUUGCCUUUCCUUGUAGGGCAGGUGUUCCAGCCUGGCCCCCACUUUGGUUCUCCUUUUCUCCCCCCUUUGGUUCUCCUUUUCUCCCCCCUGUAAGUUUUUACAAUAUCCUUCUUGAGAUGAGGCAACCAGCACUGUACAUAGUGUUCCACGUGUGGCCUCAUCAAAGAUUGGUAUGAUAUUGGCAAUGUUCUUUGCCGUUCCUUUCCUAUUAAUUCCUAGUGUGGCAUCCACCAUCCUCAUGGCUGCUGUACAUUACACUGCCAUUUCCAUGGAGUUGUUUGUCACAACAGUCCCAAGAUUUCUUUCCUGAUCAGUCGCUGCCAGUUCAAUAUAUGCGAAACAAAGAUUGUGGGGGGAGGGGGGAAGGUGGCUUUUCUGUUUGCUUUUUGCCCCAGUGUGAUCACACAGCACUUACACUGAACAUCAUUUGCCAUUUAUCUGGCUUUAUUGUCCAUUCACCCAGCUUGGAGAAAUCUGUGUUUGGAGCUUUUCAUGUUUGCCUUGCAUUUUCACCACCUUAAAUAACUUUGUUAGCAAACCUGGUGACCUCACUGCUCACUUCCAGCACCUGUUCAAUUCCUAAGAAGUUUUGCAAAACUGAAAUAAAUAAAAUCUAAUAAAAUUUCCUUUUAUUUACAUACACACGAUAUUGCCAGCACUAUUCGCCAUUCAAUGCAAGUUGUGCUGGUACCAUACACAAGUUUCUUUUUUGACUUGUUGAGGCACAGGAAUAUGCAUUACAAGCACAGUCCAGCUCUUAACAAUGUUUACUGCACCGUUCCUAUACUUCAAAAUCACCUGCCAAAAAAGCUGUAAAUACACCCUGCCCGGCACCUGCCCAUUAAGUGUUAUUGUGGUUAAUUCUGCAGGCAGUGUCUGUUUCCUUAUUACUAAACAGCUGUCAAGCAUUACCAUUUCCUAAAUAUUUAUAUGCAUGCCGGUGAGUGUAGAGAGACUGGCACAGAACAAAGGGCCCAGAGCUAGUUGCAGAGUGUAAUUUGAUACAGGUGCACUCGCCAAAACAGCAUACCUGAGGCUGAUAAAAAAGUCCUAGCUGAGUUUGGCGCUGCCUCCCAGUAGUUCUAGGGACGUAGUUCUUCCUUUUUUAAACUCCUCAAUUGUUUCUUUGUUUUAUUUAUUUAUCAUGUGUAUAUUGCACCAUUCCUCCAGGAUUAUCCCAUUUUUAUCCUCAGAACAACCAUGAGAUAAAAUAGAGCGUUGGCCGUUGAUGUAUAUGUUGCAUUUUUAGCCCAUAUUUUGGGCAGCAUGCAUGGGACUUCCCUUCUGUUCCUCAUCUUCAAAACAACUCUGUAGGAUCCCGAUUGGCCCGAAGUCAUGCAAAGACCUUCAUGGCAGGGUGAAGCUUUGAACUGAGGUCUCCAUGGCCGAAAUGCAGCACUGUUCCUACAGCAUACUGGCUUUCAAUAGCUACUUGCUCAAGACCAGCCAACAAGUACUUUGCUCUAAAGCCAAAUAUGCCUAGAGGCAGCUGGUUGUCAUUACUGUAUUAAAU